GGUUUAAUAACCCAAGUUUGAGGUACCUUUGAAAAACCCCCCAACGCGGUGACUGAGGAAAGGAGAAGAGUUUUGGAACUCUUUUCUGUACAAUUCCAUCAAAA
ensembl:snRNA F35B3.10 ncRNA